GGUUAAGCGACUAAGCGUACACGGUGGAUGCCCUGGCAGUCAGAGGCGAUGAAGGACGUGCUAAUCUGCGAUAAGCGUCGGUAAGGUGAUAUGAACCGUUAUAACCGGCGAUUUCCGAAUGGGGAAACCCAGUGUGAUUCGUCACACUAUCAUUAACUGAAUCCAUAGGUUAAUGAGGCGAACCGGGGGAACUGAAACAUCUAAGUACCCCGAGGAAAAGAAAUCAACCGAGAUUCCCCCAGUAGCGGCGAGCGAACGGGGAGCAGCCCAGAGCCUGAAUCAGUGUGUGUAUUAGUGGAAGCGUCUGGAAAGGCGCGCGAUACAGGGUGACAGCCCCGUACACAAAAAUGCACAUAUUGUGAGCUCGAUGAGUAGGGCGGGACACGUGGUAUCCUGUCUGAAUAUGGGGGGACCAUCCUCCAAGGCUAAAUACUCCUGACUGACCGAUAGUGAACCAGUACCGUGAGGGAAAGGCGAAAAGAACCCCGGCGAGGGGAGUGAAAAAGAACCUGAAACCGUGUACGUACAAGCAGUGGGAGCACGCUUAGGCGUGUGACUGCGUACCUUUUGUAUAAUGGGUCAGCGACUUAUAUUCUGUAGCAAGGUUAACCGAAUAGGGGAGCCGAAGGGAAACCGAGUCUUAACUGGGCGUUAAGUUGCAGGGUAUAGACCCGAAACCCGGUGAUCUAGCCAUGGGCAGGUUGAAGGUUGGGUAACACUAACUGGAGGACCGAACCGACUAAUGUUGAAAAAUUAGCGGAUGACUUGUGGCUGGGGGUGAAAGGCCAAUCAAACCGGGAGAUAGCUGGUUCUCCCCGAAAGCUAUUUAGGUAGCGCCUCGUGAAUUCAUCUCCGGGGGUAGAGCACUGUUUCGGCAAGGGGGUCAUCCCGACUUACCAACCCGAUGCAAACUGCGAAUACCGGAGAAUGUUAUCACGGGAGACACACGGCGGGUGCUAACGUCCGUCGUGAAGAGGGAAACAACCCAGACCGCCAGCUAAGGUCCCAAAGUCAUGGUUAAGUGGGAAACGAUGUGGGAAGGCCCAGACAGCCAGGAUGUUGGCUUAGAAGCAGCCAUCAUUUAAAGAAAGCGUAAUAGCUCACUGGUCGAGUCGGCCUGCGCGGAAGAUGUAACGGGGCUAAACCAUGCACCGAAGCUGCGGCAGCGACGCUGAUGCGUUGUUGGGUAGGGGAGCGUUCUGUAAGCCUGCGAAGGUGUGCUGUGAGGCAUGCUGGAGGUAUCAGAAGUGCGAAUGCUGACAUAAGUAACGAUAAAGCGGGUGAAAAGCCCGCUCGCCGGAAGACCAAGGGUUCCUGUCCAACGUUAAUCGGGGCAGGGUGAGUCGACCCCUAAGGCGAGGCCGAAAGGCGUAGUCGAUGGGAAACAGGUUAAUAUUCCUGUACUUGGUGUUACUGCGAAGGGGGGACGGAGAAGGCUAUGUUGGCCGGGCGACGGUUGUCCCGGUUUAAGCGUGUAGGCUGGUUUUCCAGGCAAAUCCGGAAAAUCAAGGCUGAGGCGUGAUGACGAGGCACUACGGUGCUGAAGCAACAAAUGCCCUGCUUCCAGGAAAAGCCUCUAAGCAUCAGGUAACAUCAAAUCGUACCCCAAACCGACACAGGUGGUCAGGUAGAGAAUACCAAGGCGCUUGAGAGAACUCGGGUGAAGGAACUAGGCAAAAUGGUGCCGUAACUUCGGGAGAAGGCACGCUGAUAUGUAGGUGAGGUCCCUCGCGGAUGGAGCUGAAAUCAGUCGAAGAUACCAGCUGGCUGCAACUGUUUAUUAAAAACACAGCACUGUGCAAACACGAAAGUGGACGUAUACGGUGUGACGCCUGCCCGGUGCCGGAAGGUUAAUUGAUGGGGUUAGCGCAAGCGAAGCUCUUGAUCGAAGCCCCGGUAAACGGCGGCCGUAACUAUAACGGUCCUAAGGUAGCGAAAUUCCUUGUCGGGUAAGUUCCGACCUGCACGAAUGGCGUAAUGAUGGCCAGGCUGUCUCCACCCGAGACUCAGUGAAAUUGAACUCGCUGUGAAGAUGCAGUGUACCCGCGGCAAGACGGAAAGACCCCGUGAACCUUUACUAUAGCUUGACACUGAACAUUGAGCCUUGAUGUGUAGGAUAGGUGGGAGGCUUAGAAGUGUGGACGCCAGUCUGCAUGGAGCCGACCUUGAAAUACCACCCUUUAAUGUUUGAUGUUCUAACGUUGACCCGUAAUCCGGGUUGCGGACAGUGUCUGGUGGGUAGUUUGACUGGGGCGGUCUCCUCCUAAAGAGUAACGGAGGAGCACGAAGGUUGGCUAAUCCUGGUCGGACAUCAGGAGGUUAGUGCAAUGGCAUAAGCCAGCUUGACUGCGAGCGUGACGGCGCGAGCAGGUGCGAAAGCAGGUCAUAGUGAUCCGGUGGUUCUGAAUGGAAGGGCCAUCGCUCAACGGAUAAAAGGUACUCCGGGGAUAACAGGCUGAUACCGCCCAAGAGUUCAUAUCGACGGCGGUGUUUGGCACCUCGAUGUCGGCUCAUCACAUCCUGGGGCUGAAGUAGGUCCCAAGGGUAUGGCUGUUCGCCAUUUAAAGUGGUACGCGAGCUGGGUUUAGAACGUCGUGAGACAGUUCGGUCCCUAUCUGCCGUGGGCGCUGGAGAACUGAGGGGGGCUGCUCCUAGUACGAGAGGACCGGAGUGGACGCAUCACUGGUGUUCGGGUUGUCAUGCCAAUGGCACUGCCCGGUAGCUAAAUGCGGAAGAGAUAAGUGCUGAAAGCAUCUAAGCACGAAACUUGCCCCGAGAUGAGUUCUCCCUGACCCUUUAAGGGUCCUGAAGGAACGUUGAAGACGACGACGUUGAUAGGCCGGGUGUGUAAGCGCAGCGAUGCGUUGAGCUAACCGGUACUAAUGAACCGUGAGGCUUAACCUU
rnacentral:rRNA from 1 species